rnacentral:rRNA from 1 species
UACGUAGGGUGCAAGCGUUUGUCCGGAAUUAUUGGGCGUAAAGAGCUCGUAGGCGGUCUGUCGCGUCGGCUGUGAAAUCCCGGAGCUCAACUCCGGGUCUGCAGUCGAUACGGGCAAACUGGAGUACUGCAGGGGAGACUGGAAUUCCUGGUGUAGCGGUGAAAUGCGCAGAUAUCAGGAGGAACACCGGUGGCGAAGGCGGGUCUCUGGGCCGAUACUGACGCUGAGGAGCGAAAGCGUGGGGAGCGAACAGG